AUUGAACGCUGGCGGCAGGCCUAACACAUGCACGUCGAACGAGUGGCGGACGGGUGAGUAAUGUCUGGGAAACUGCCUGAUGGCGGGGAAUAACUACGGGAAACGGUAGCUAAUACCGCAUACCAUCAGAUGUGCCAAGAUGGGAUUAGAUUGUUGGGGGGGUAACGGCUCACCAAGGCGACGAUCCCUAGCUGGUCUGAGAUGAUGACCCGCCACACUGGAACUGCGCCACGGUCCAGACGCCUACGUGAGUCAGCAGUGGCGAAUAUUGCACAAUGGGCGCAAGCCUGAUGCAGCCAUGCCGCGUGUAUGAAGAAGGCCUUCGGGUUGUAAAGUACUUUCAGCGGGGAGGCGUUACCCGCAGAAGAAGCACCGGCUAACUCCGUGCCAGCAGCCGCGGUAAUU
rnacentral:rRNA from 1 species